UUCGUAGGCGGUGCGGCAAGUCGGGAGUGAAAUCUCAGGGCUUAACUCUGAGGCUGCUCCCGAAACUGCCGUGCUCGAGUGCGGGAGAGGCGAGUGGAAUUGCAGGUGUAGCGGUGAAAUGCGUAGAUAUCUGCAGGAACACCCGUGGCGAAGGCGGCUCGCUGGACCGCAACUGACGCUGAGGAACGAAAGCUAGGGGAGCAAACAGGAUUAGAUACCCUGGUAGUCCUAGCCCUAAACCAUCAGGACUUGAGGUGCAUCCCGUUUGGGGUGCGUCCCGGAGCUAACGCGUUAAGUCCUGCGCCUGGGGAGUACGGUCGCAAGGCUGAA
rnacentral:rRNA from 1 species